CCUACUUAACAGAAAAAAGGAAAAAUAGGAAGAAAAGAGACAAGAAUGCAUAUGUUAGUUUGUUUAAACUUGAAUAAAACUAAUUUUGCAUUUUCCUGUGUACUGUAUAAGGAUUAGAAGAAGGCAUGUAAUUAUAUAAGACUUGUGUGGGAGAUGAACAAAAUUUUCUAAGAUAGCUAUACAAAUUUUGGAUCACUGAAAACAUAAUAAAUUCUGUUAAGAUGUCCAAAGCAGAUGCUUGCAUCCCCAAAUUUACAGUAGUCUGUAUAUCUAAUGCCUCACAGUCAUUCCAGAGUAUUCUCAGCAUAGAGAAACCCUAAGUAAGUUUGAAGAAACUAAAGUUGUACAUAAUAACUUGAAAACAGGUAAUAAUUUUAUGGGCAGUUUAAGAUAUUAAUAGCUACCUAUAAUUUGAUUAGUCUCUUUUGACAUCAAUACUUUCCCACAUACUCUCUGACCAUGGGAUUUUUAUAUUAGCAGCUAUAGCAAGCUACCACUUUCAGGUUGCCUAUUUCCUUAAUAACGGAUACCAAAGAAAUGCAGGAACGUGGAAGAAAUGAUGCAUCAUAAUACCAACCCAUGGGGAUACUAGUAAAGAUAAAAUGAUUUAAUUAUGUGGCAAGAAGCAUCAGUAAUCACUAGUUGUCUAAAGACAGUCCUUGUAUGGUGAAGAUUCAAGGCAAAAUGAAUCUGUGUGUCCCCUUCAGGAGAUCUGAACAGGUAGGUAUAA